GAUGAAGAACGCAGCGAAAUGCGAUACUUGGUGUGAAUUGCAGAAUCCCGUGAACCAUCGAGUCUUUGAACGCAAGUUGCGCCCGAAGCCAUCAGGUUGAGGGCACGUCUGCCUGGGCGUCACAUAUCGUUGCCCAAUGCCUAUUGCAGUGCAAUAGGAAUUUCUAGGGCGAAUGAUGGCUUCCCGUGAGCGUUGUUGCCUCGCGGUUGGUUGAAAAUCGAGUCCUUGGUUGGGUGUGCCAUGGUAGAUGGUGGUCGAGUUAGAACGAUACCGAUCAUGUGCAUGCUCCCCAAAAUAUGGCCUCUAUGACCCACACGCGUCUUUUGACGCUCAUGACGAGACCUCAGGUCAGGCGGGGCUACCCGCUGAAUUUAAGCAUAUCAAUAAGCGGAGGA
rnacentral:misc_RNA from 1 species